CAGUCGCCACGGGAAUACGUAGGUGGCAAGCGCUGUCCGGAAUUAUUGGGCGUAAAGGGCUCGCAGGCGGUUUCUUAAGUCUGAUGUGAAAGCCCCCGGCUCAACCGGGGAGGGUCAUUGGAAACUGGGAAACUUGAGUGCAGAAGAGGAGAGUGGAAUUCCACGUGUAGCGGUGAAAUGCGUAGAGAUGUGGAGGAACACCAGUGGCGAAGGCGACUCUCUGGUCUGUAACUGACGCUGAGGAGCGAAAGCGUGGGGAGCGAACAGGAUUAGAUACCCCCGUAGUCCCUGUCUCUUAUAC
rnacentral:rRNA from 1 species